GUAGGUGGCAAGCGUUGUCCGGAAUUAUUGGGCGUAAAGCGCGCGCAGGCGGUCCUUUAAGUCUGAUGUGAAAGCCCACGGCUCAACCGUGGAGGGUCAUUGGAAACUGGGGGACUUGAGUACAGAAGAGGAAAGCGGAAUUCCAAGUGUAGCGGUGAAAUGCGUAGAGAUUUGGAGGAACACCAGUGGCGAAGGCGGCUUUCUGGUCUGUAACUGACGCUGAGGCGCGAAAGCGUGGGGUAGCAAACAGGGAUUAGAUACCCGUGGUAGUCCACGCCGUAAACGAUGAGUGCUAAGUGUUAGGGGGUUUCCGCCCCCUUAGUGCUGCAGCUAACGCAUUAAGCACUCCGCCUGGGGAUACGGCCGCAAGGCUG
rnacentral:rRNA from 1 species